AAAAGAAAGAAAAACUAGAGAGGGGGAAUUGGAGCCUUCUUCGUGAAAAAGCCCCUUCUUCUCAAAAUUUCUCUUGCCAACCUCCCUUCAUGCCGCAAUUUCUCUCUAUCUCUCCACCGCCAACACCCACUACUCUUGCGGCACCCGGUCCAAGAGAAGAAAGACUGAGCUUUCUCUAUGCGAUUCCAUGAUCUACUUGGGAGGAAUCCGUCGAUGUGGUCAAGCUCACACUCAAUGUGUGGAAGAAAAGAAUACAAAUUGAAUCAUCAUUGGAGAGGAAUGAAGUAGGGAGAAUGGGUCUUAAUAGAGUAAAAUAAAAGUGAACAAGGUGAGACCCACUCCGAUCCCAACAAUAGGGCUAGGGCCCCGAUCCUCUUCUUCACGAGCUCCUCCUCUUUCUACUACCCAAGUUCGCCGGAGCUAUUACUGCUAUGGUUUCAAGAUCAGAGAUGUCAUAGUGCCAUGGAACUCUUCUCAUUUCACACCACAACAAAGAACUAAAUAGUAUAUGUUUUGGUGUAAUAAAAUUAUCCUUAUUUCUAAUGCCACCGUGUUGUUGGACUAAAAGAAACAUAAUAAAUCAUUUGUUUAUGUAAGAUAUUUAUUAAGAUAAAUCAUUUGUUGGACUAAGGAUUUUGUUCGGAC